AAGCUGGGUGCCCCGGAGAGUCUGACCACCAUGCCACCUCCUCGCCUCCUCUUCUUCCUCCUCUUCCUCACCCCCAUGGAAGUCAGGCCCGAGGAACCUCUAGUGGUGAAGGUGGAAGAGGGAGAUAACGCUGUGCUGCAGUGCCUCAAGGGGACCUCAGAUGGCCCCACUCAGCAGCUGACCUGGUCUCGGGAGUCCCCGCUUAAACCCUUCUUAAAACUCAGCCUGGGGCUGCCAGGCCUGGGAAUCCACAUGAGGCCCCUGGCCAUCUGGCUUUUCAUCUUCAACGUCUCUCAACAGAUGGGGGGCUUCUACCUGUGCCAGCCGGGGCCCCCCUCUGAGAAGGCCUGGCAGCCUGGCUGGACAGUCAAUGUGGAGGGCAGCGGUGAGGGCCGGGCUGGGGCAGGGGCAGGAGGAGAGAAGGGAGGCCACCAUGGACAGAAGAGGUCCGCGGCCACAAUGGAGCUGGAGAGAGGGGCUGGAGGGAUUGAGGGCGAAACUCGGAGCUAGGUGGGCAGACUCCUGGGGCUUCGUGGCUUCAGUAUGAGCUGCUUCCUGUCCCUCUACCUCUCACUGUCUUCUCUCUCUCUGCGGGUCUUUGUCUCUAUUUAUCUCUGUCUUUGAGUCUCUAUCUCUCUCCCUCUCCUGGGUGUCUCUGCAUUUGGUUCUGGGUCUCUUCCCAGGGGAGCUGUUCCGGUGGAAUGUUUCGGACCUAGGUGGCCUGGGCUGUGGCCUGAAGAACAGGUCCUCAGAGGGCCCCAGCUCCCCUUCCGGGAAGCUCAUGAGCCCCAAGCUGUAUGUGUGGGCCAAAGACCGCCCUGAGAUCUGGGAGGGAGAGCCUCCGUGUCUCCCACCGAGGGACAGCCUGAACCAGAGCCUCAGCCAGGACCUCACCAUGGCCCCUGGCUCCACACUCUGGCUGUCCUGUGGGGUACCCCCUGACUCUGUGUCCAGGGGCCCCCUCUCCUGGACCCAUGUGCACCCCAAGGGGCCUAAGUCAUUGCUGAGCCUAGAGCUGAAGGACGAUCGCCCGGCCAGAGAUAUGUGGGUAAUGGAGACGGGUCUGUUGUUGCCCCGGGCCACAGCUCAAGACGCUGGAAAGUAUUAUUGUCACCGUGGCAACCUGACCAUGUCAUUCCACCUGGAGAUCACUGCUCGGCCAGCCCCUUCCCCCUAGUACUAUGGCACUGGCUGCUGAGGACUGGUGGCUGGAAGGUCUCAGCUGUGACUUUGGCUUAUCUGAUCUUCUGCCUGUGUUCCCUUGUGGGCAUUCUUCAUCUUCAAAGAGCCCUGGUCCUGAGGAGGAAAAGAAAGCGAAUGACUGACCCCACCAGGAGAUUCUUCAAAGUGACGCCUCCCCCAGGAAGCGGGCCCCAGAACCAGUACGGGAACGUGCUGUCUCUCCCCACACCCACCUCAGGCCUCGGACGCGCCCAGCGUUGGGCCGCAGGCCUGGGGGGCACUGCCCCGUCUUAUGGAAACCCGAGCAGCGACGUCCAGGCGGAUGGAGCCUUGGGGUCCCGGAGCCCGCCGGGAGUGGGCCCAGAAGAAGAGGAAGGGGAGGGCUAUGAGGAACCUGACAGUGAGGAGGACUCCGAGUUCUAUGAGAACGACUCCAACCUUGGGCAGGACCAGCUCUCCCAGGAUGGCAGCGGCUACGAGAACCCUGAGGAUGAGCCCCUGGGUCCUGAGGAUGAAGACUCCUUCUCCAACGCUGAGUCUUAUGAGAACGAGGAUGAAGAGCUGACCCAGCCGGUCGCCAGGACAAUGGACUUCCUGAGCCCUCAUGGGUCAGCCUGGGACCCCAGCCGGGAAGCAACCUCCCUGGGGUCCCAGUCCUAUGAGGAUAUGAGAGGAAUCCUGUAUGCAGCCCCCCAGCUCCGCUCCAUUCGGGGCCAGCCUGGACCCAAUCAUGAGGAAGAUGCAGACUCUUAUGAGAACAUGGAUAAUCCCGAUGGGCCAGACCCAGCCUGGGGAGGAGGGGGCCGCAUGGGCACCUGGAGCACCAGGUGAUCCUCAGGUGGCCAGCCUGGAUCUCCUCAAGUCCCCAAGAUUCACACCUGACUCUGAAAUCUGAAGACCUCGAGCAGAUGAUGCCAACCUCUGGAGCAAUGUUGCUUAGGAUGUGUGCAUGUGUGUAAGUGUGUGUGUGUGUGUGUGUGUGUAUACAUGCCAGUGACACUUCCAGUCCCCUUUGUAUUCCUUAAAUAAACUCAAUGAGCUCUUCCAA